UCCCUACCUACCCAUGACCUCUACUGACAACCAACAGGAACCAAACUUUUUUUUUUUUUAGGCCUAAUUACAAGCUGUGCGUUAGCUAGCUCUGUGUGUAUUUUGCAUACCGUGUUCCCUUUGACACAGCCUCCACUACAAGCAUGAUCAGUCUGACAUUAGAAGAGCAUGUUUCGUGAUUCACGAAUAUGAGCCAAAACAAAAUUGCCCUGAAGUAAAUGUCCAUAUCGUCAUGAAAGCUUCAUGGCUAGUGUUUGGAUCAGUGAUCGUCAUCAUCAAGCGGCUUUCACAACAGUGUGUUUGCGUUUUGUGUUAGUGCUAGACUGCUACGGUUCUCUUUCACAUAUAUUUGACCGUGACCGUGUCGCCAGGGCUGUAGUGGACGCUAAACGCAAGUAAACGCAGUUACCCACCUCUGAAAUUUCAGAAACAGAGUUUAUCCACUUCUCACUUCAGAGUUUAGCUACCUCCCAAUACAGCAAAUACACUACCCUUGGUUGCGAAUCACUGAUCUAAGUAUUCAUAGUUUACCCACCGCUUAUGUCACCACUACACCCUUGCAUUUCUUUUUUAUAUACUUGUAUAUACUAUACUUUAUACUAAUAUACUUUUUUAUAUUUGUUUUCGCAAGAUGUUGACAGACGCCUCACAGCAGGAGACCGUGGCCAGUGUAGACACUGUGGAGAGUGUCGAUACUGGGGAUCAGCCCUUGCCCUCCUCCACUUCUGACGCUGGGACACAAUGUUAUUUGAAGCCCCCCGAUGGUCUCACGUCGUGGGUGCCCGAAGAGCCGAUGGAUGAGGAGGAAUUGUUUGAUGAGGAGCCACCUUACACGUGUGACCCCCACCACAAGUGAGAUAAUCUAAAACCAACAUAGACCAUAUUGAAUGCUCAAUGCUUUGUUAGUUUGAAUGACACCGCCCCCCCUCCCCCUCAUUGUUGUAGUUGCAUUGACAAAUUCAUUGUUUGCCAAGAGGAGCUGAUGGGCCUUUUUGCCAUCUGUCCGGCCUGUUGUGAGAGGUCGGAUAGUAGCAUUGUGCAGCAGGAAGGAACUUUUGUUAAGAUCAAGCAGGUACAGUUUUGUUUAUGCAGUUUUUGUUUACGCAGCCAUCUGAUUAGAAAAUCAGAAUACCUAAUUACAAUCUGAUAGCUCUGACUGUCUUGCCAGUUAAUUUACAAUGUAUGUACCAGGCUGGCUUUAGUCUGCUGGUUUGUGAUGCCAUCCUAUUUGAGUGUUAUACUGUAUUGGUCAUGUGUGUUUGAUUGAAAAUACGAAACCUUUGACCAGUAAUGUAAAGUACUUACUCUAUAUUGAAUCCUGAUAUACUGUUGAUUACUGUUUUCUUUUCUUUUCCACAGGAACAUGCCAACCUGCAACCUCCUGUUAAGUGGGGCCAUUAAUUUUAUUCAAAUUAUCGAGUAAUUCAUUAAUCGAUAGUUGUUUCAUCUUAUCGAUCGAUGAUCGAUUAAUCGAUAAGCGGCAAUUCUUCUGAGAAGCUGAAUUUCCUUCUGAAUGUGACACAUUUAGGUGGUAAUUCAACGAAGUCGUUUAGUUGUACUUUAAAAUACUUCCACAUAUUGUGCAUUUGGCGUCUUUGUCGUCAUUAACCAACUUAAAGUGGCUCCAUACUGCACUCCGUUUUGCCCUCUUCAUCGUGUCAGUAGCUGUGUUCGGAAUCGUUCCCUAUCAUGGAUGUAGUGCACUAAAUAGGGUGCACGGCAUUUUGUAGGGUGUUCGAAUUCUCAGUGGUCCACUAUAUAGGUUACUAUAUAGUGGACUUAAAAUAGGGUACAUACGAUGUUCCCUACAUGUUACCUCCGUAUACCACAAUGCAAUGCGGUUGUAUCUUUCCAGGGGAGAAGAAGAAGCUGAAUAACCGCGAAAACGAAUACAUUUAAUGAUGGAGUCUCCGGCUUGUGUUUAGAAAUGUCAACAAUUUAUUAGGGAUUUAACAUAGAAUAUUUAACAUUCAAAAUUAAUUUAAAAAAACUUGAACAAGGAAAUGUAACAUUCAACAUCAAUACAACUUACAGCCCGGUUUGUUUAGAUGAUGUCGGCGCAUCACGUCACACAAAUACCAGGCGCAUUUACUGACGCAAAUGACGUUUAGAAAUGUUCAGGGUAGUGUCCGAAUUCUCGUUCCCUAUUCCCUAUAUAGUGCACUAUAUCAUGUACACUAUAUAGGGAAUAGGGAACGAGUUUUCGCGGUUAUUCAGCUUCUUCUUCUCCCCUGGAAAAAUACAACCGCAUUGCAUUGUGGUAUACGGAGGUAACAUGUAGGGAACAUCGUAUGUACCCUAUUUUAAGUCCACUAUAUAGUAACCUAUAUAGUGGACCACUGAGAAUUCGAACACCCUACAAAAUGCCGUGCACCCUAUUUAGCGCACUACAUCCAUGAUAGGGAACGAUUUCGAACACAGCUCUAGUGUCCCGCUUUUCGUUUGUCUUGUCCUGCUUCUUCGCUUGUGUUCCCGCGUGUGCGUGAAGUACGUCUGGCGUCAAGCGCGCCCUCACGUGGACGGUUGGGGAAUUACGGGUUAAAAAUGCGAUUAAUUGCAAGUAAUUUAUUUUAAUCGAGUAAUCUCUUAUCGACAAUUAAUCGAUAAUCAAUGAAUUGUUUGCAUCCCUACAUGUGACCUUUGUGAUGAAAUUAUUUUUUCAUUCCCUUGCAAUCUCAUAACAUUCUGUUUACUGUUUGCUAUAAUUCAUAUGCAGGACAAUUUCAUGUGUGUUUCCAUUUAAAAAAGGAAUUCUGUCUGUAUCUAUCGUCUAUUUGUAUGUUUUCCGUCUGUGUGUCUGUCUGCCUCCCUGCCUACCUGUCUUGGUCUUUGCAGGCUCAUUGGCAGCAGUCAUAUUGGAGAACAUAAUGAUGAGGGCUGCCUUACUGAAAGAUGUUCGACAGCUGUCUCCACAGCACCAGACCUUCUCCCUUGAGGCUUACCACUCCCUCAUCUUGCACUUCGCGCCCAAGCACACAGGGUUUUCAUACCUUGGGAUGUAUAGCAGGUCAGUGCUAUCCAAUGGAAUAACACUGCCAAUUAUUAUUCCUUUUAUAGUAAUAAUAGUACCUACCUAUUAACAUGCCUAUUGUAGUAUUUUGUCAUACAUACACCAAGUUUCAAAGGUUUUCUCGAAUGUGUUAUUUUGUAGGCUUCUCUUAGCGGCGCUGCAUUAUAAUCACAAUGCCAAUAGCGAGACAGCACGGAGAAGUGACGGGUCGGAGAAGUAAUGCGUGCGGUAUCCGCGCUUCAGAAAAGGUGCCCAUGUGGUGCGUCGCAUCAAAGAGGCAGCCUCAUACGGUAAGCAGUGUCAUGCAGUUCUAUCAUAUUUUGAGAUGGCGCACGAGACAUCGGUGAUCAGUGACAAUGAUCUUUAUAAAGUCAUAUUAUUAUUAUAAUUAAUAUUAUUAUUAUUAUGUCUGCAGGUUAUGCAACAUCAUUAAUGAAGGCCCUUCGGGAGAGCUACGCCAGUUCACCCGCGGUUCUUCGAGAGGUUAGCGCCAAUUCGUCCUCCGAUGCACCCGCCCCCAUCGCCAAAUCCUUCCAACAGAUUCCUAAGGAGGAGGCCGUCAGCCUCUACCUAGCCCGGCAGUCACGCUACAAGAAAACCUAAUUUCACAUUAUUAUUUUUUUCCACGGACAAGUCCAAUAAUUUAGUUGUUAUUAUUUGCAUGAAAUUUCUUUGUAUGUAAUUCAAAAUAAUUUGGCAAUCAUUUUACCUGUGCCUUGUCAACCUCUGUGUGCGGUGUUGUCUGGGCUCACUGUGUGUCUGCUUGAUGUGCUUUUGCAUGUAUGAAUGCAUGAAAUAGUGUGUGUGUGUGUGUGUGAGAGAAAGAGAACCAUCAACUGACCCUCGGGUAUGACCACACUAUUGCAGAAUUAAUUAGAAUUAGAAUUAAACAUUGCGGGUCUAGCCCUUCAGGGUUCCUUGUAUGUUUUGUGCCUAACCAUUUUUUUAUAUAGAUUUAAUUCCAACCUGUUUCUUUGUUCAGUAACCAUUACAAGCGAUGCCAAUAAACUUUUUUUUUAUCCAAAAUUCAUGUGUUCUGUGUACUUUAUAACAUUUUAAGGGCAAUUGAAUGAUCACAACAGAAUAGGCAUAACAAUUAUUUUUAUUCCUUUUCAUCCAAACAAGGCCAUUGAAAGCCCUGAUAGGUCUGGUCACCAUUCUGGAAUUGCUGCCUGAUGGUUGAAACCACACAAGAGGGUAGAGGCUUCCUUAUACUCCUCCCUGAAACGCCAUAAGCCCAGAGUAUAGCCUGCCUGUACACAGUGUACCGGUAUGGCCU
ensembl:lncRNA